rnacentral:rRNA from 1 species
GACGAACCGAGCGAACGUUGUUCGGAAUCACUGGGCUUAAAGCGCGCGCAGGCGGCCGUUCAAGUCUGGCGUGAAAGCCCCCGGCUCAACCGGGGAGGGUCGUCGGAGACUGGGCGGCUUGAGGGCGGCAGGGGUUGGUGGAAUUCCCGGUGUAGUGGUGAAAUGCGUAGAGAUCGGGAGGAACACCCGUGGCGAAGGCGGCCAACUGGGCCGACUCUGACGCUGAGGCGCGAAGGCGUGGGGAGCGAACGGG